UACGUAGGGGGCUAGCGUUGUCCGGAAUCAUUGGGCGUAAAGCGCGUGUAGGCGGCCCGGUAAGUCCGCUGUGAAAGUCCAGGGCUCAACCCUGGGAUGCCGGUGGAUACUGUCGGGCUCGAGUCCGGAAGAGGCGAGUGGAAUUCCUGGUGUAGCGGUGAAAUGCGCAGAUAUCAGGAGGAACACCAAUGGCGAAGGCAGCUCGCCGGGACGUGACUGACGCUGAGACGCGAAAGCGUGGGGAGCAAACAGG
rnacentral:rRNA from 1 species